CGACGAUGCGACGCAGCUGGUCAUAACUUAAGCGUUGCCUUCACUUGAGUCAACCAACACAGCUGCGGCGUACCUUAACAAAUUUAAAACAAUUACGCAGAAAUGUAUCGCUGAGAAAUUAAUGAGAUUAAACAUGGAUUAACCGUAAUCGGCGUUGGAGCCGCAGGACAUGAAGUCUACCAAGAGUCAAAGAACAGCGGCUGAGCGAUUGAACUGAUUUUAAAAAUCACCACUUCAGUAUUAUUUGUAAUAUCUUUAGAAUAUAUUCUCUCAUUUUAAA